CGAGUUCGCAGUAUUGUGGC
rnacentral:misc_RNA from 1 species